GACAGAGGUGCCGAGCGUUAGGCGGAAUCACUGGGCUUAAGGCGUGUGUAGGCGGAUGGGUAAGUACCUUGUGAAAUCCCACGGCUCAACCGUGGAACUGCUCGGUAUACUGCUCGUCUUGAGCCAACUAGGGGCGACCGGAACAAACGGUGGAGCGGUGAAAUGCGUAGAUAUCGUUUGGAACGCCGAUGGUGAAAACAGGUCGCUGGGGUUGUGCUGACGCUGAGACACGAAAGCCAGGGGAGCGAACGGG
rnacentral:rRNA from 1 species